UUAAAUUGAAGAGUUUGAUCAUGGCUCAGAUUGAACGCUGGCGGCAGGCCUAACACAUGCAAGUCGAACGGUAACAGGAAGCAGCUUGCUGUUUCGCUGACGAGUGGCGGACGGGUGAGUAAUGUCUGGGAAACUGCCUGAUGGAGGGGGAUAACUACUGGAAACGGUAGCUAAUACCGCAUAACGUCGCAAGACCAAAGAGGGGGACCUUCGGGCCUCUUGCCAUCGGAUGUGCCCAGAUGGGAUUAGCUUGUUGGUGGGGUAACGGCUCACCAAGGCGACGAUCCCUAGCUGGUCUGAGAGGAUGACCAGCCACACUGGAACUGAGACACGGUCCAGACUCCUACGGGAGGCAGCAGUGGGGAAUAUUGCACAAUGGGCGCAAGCCUGAUGCAGCCAUGCCGCGUGUAUGAAGAAGGCCUUCGGGUUGUAAAGUACUUUCAGCGGGGAGGAAGGGAGUAAAGUUAAUACCUUUGCUCAUUGACGUUACCCGCAGAAGAAGCACCGGCUAACUCCGUGCCAGCAGCCGCGGUAAUACGGAGGGUGCAAGCGUUAAUCGGAAUUACUGGGCGUAAAGCGCACGCAGGCGGUUUGUUAAGUCAGAUGUGAAAUCCCCGGGCUCAACCUGGGAACUGCAUCUGAUACUGGCAAGCUUGAGUCUCGUAGAGGGGGGUAGAAUUCCAGGUGUAGCGGUGAAAUGCGUAGAGAUCUGGAGGAAUACCGGUGGCGAAGGCGGCCCCCUGGACGAAGACUGACGCUCAGGUGCGAAAGCGUGGGGAGCAAACAGGAUUAGAUACCCUGGUAGUCCACGCCGUAAACGAUGUCGACUUGGAGGUUGUGCCCUUGAGGCGUGGCUUCCGGAGCUAACGCGUUAAGUCGACCGCCUGGGGAGUACGGCCGCAAGGUUAAAACUCAAAUGAAUUGACGGGGGCCCGCACAAGCGGUGGAGCAUGUGGUUUAAUUCGAUGCAACGCGAAGAACCUUACCUGGUCUUGACAUCCACGGAAGUUUUCAGAGAUGAGAAUGUGCCUUCGGGAACCGUGAGACAGGUGCUGCAUGGCUGUCGUCAGCUCGUGUUGUGAAAUGUUGGGUUAAGUCCCGCAACGAGCGCAACCCUUAUCCUUUGUUGCCAGCGGUCCGGCCGGGAACUCAAAGGAGACUGCCAGUGAUAAACUGGAGGAAGGUGGGGAUGACGUCAAGUCAUCAUGGCCCUUACGACCAGGGCUACACACGUGCUACAAUGGCGCAUACAAAGAGAAGCGACCUCGCGAGAGCAAGCGGACCUCAUAAAGUGCGUCGUAGUCCGGAUUGGAGUCUGCAACUCGACUCCAUGAAGUCGGAAUCGCUAGUAAUCGUGGAUCAGAAUGCCACGGUGAAUACGUUCCCGGGCCUUGUACACACCGCCCGUCACACCAUGGGAGUGGGUUGCAAAAGAAGUAGGUAGCUUAACCUUCGGGAGGGCGCUUACCACUUUGUGAUUCAUGACUGGGGUGAAGUCGUAACAAGGUAACCGUAGGGGAACCUGCGGUUGGAUCACCUCCUUACCUUAAAGAAGC
rnacentral:rRNA from 1 species